rnacentral:snRNA from 1 species
GGAUGUGAGGGCGAUCUGGCUGCGACAUCUGUCACCCCAUUGAUCGCCAGGGUUGAUUCGGCUGAUCUGGCUGGCUAGGCGGGUGUCCCCUUCCUCCCUCACCGCUCCAUGUGCGUCCCUCCCGAAGCUGCGCUCUUGGUCAAAGAGGACGACCUUCCCCGCUAGAGGAGGACCGGUCUUCGGGUUCGGUCAAGGGUAUACGAGUAGCUGCGCUCCCCUGCUAGAACCUCCAAACAAGCUCUCAAAGACAGCUAUGGCGGUCACCUAAGUCUUCUCUUCUGUGGGCCAAACAUCCCAGUUCCUGGAGCUGUUCUUU